CCGGCUAGGCUCGAUGGCGCUGUUCCACCUUGGCUACCUCGACUCCGAUGUGACGGUUCAUGCCAAAAUUUCUUACAUAUUCAUCUUUGGGAGAAAGAUCAAGGCAUAUAGUGGGCUACUUCUGCAAAAGGAGGGAAGCAACAUAUUGCAUUUAAAGUGAAGCUUCCUCUAUGAUAUGGAGAUGCAAUCAUC